UACGGAGGGUGCGAGCGUUGUCCGGAAUCACUGGGCGUAAGGGCGCGUAGGCGGCCUGAUAAGUAGGGGGUGAAAGUCCUGCGGCUUAACCGCAGGGCUGCCUUCUAAACUGUCAGGCUGGAGCACAGUAGAGGCAGGUGGAAUUCCCGGGUGUACGCGGUGGAAUGCGUAGAGAUCGGGGAAGAACAUCAGUGGCGAAGCGGCCUGCUGGGCUGUUGCUGACGC
rnacentral:rRNA from 1 species